rnacentral:rRNA from 1 species
UACGUAGGGGGCAAGCGUUAUCCGGAUUUACUGGGUGUAAAGGGAGCGUAGACGGUUUUUCAAGUCUGAAGUGAAAGCCCGCGGCUCAACUGCGGAACGGCUUUGGAAACUGAGGGACUAGAGUGCUGGAGGGGCAGGCGGAAUUCCUGGUGUAGCAGUGAAAUGCAUAGAUAUCACGCAGAACCCCGAUUGCGAAGGCAGCAUACCGGUGCACAACUGACGCUCAGGCACGAAAGCGUGGGUAUCGAACAGG